CAGUGUCUUUUCCUCUACAAGC
rnacentral:piRNA from 1 species